AGAAGCUGUGUUUAUUGAUAAGAUCCACUACUUGGAGGUGCUCAGCUCUUCAGAAUUUUUUCUUAUCUGGAAGCAGCACACAGUUUUCCCACGGCGCUUCAAAUUCUGCACUGCUCGCAGCGUUAAAGCAACAUCUGCAGCGUGGCUGAGCGGAGCUGGCUGGCUGGUGCGGUCUGUUGGGACCUUUGAGGGGUAGAAGGACACAUAAGUACCACAUCCGUUGCUCAAUGGCAGAUUACCUUUAGAUUACCUUUAGAUUACCUUUAGAUUACCUUUAGAUUACCUUUUUCCCGUGGUAGGUGUGCUGCAGCUUGAAGCAACUUGCUGUUUGGGGAACCGAUGGGAGGUCGCUCACCUUCACAGCCGUCUCUCUGGCGUGCUGCAAGCCUGUCCCUGGCACACCUCGCCGUAACUCAUGCCGUGCGCUGCCUCGGGUCAAGCAGGGGACUAGCUUGUCGCUGUCUGUACGGGCAGUUACGCAGACGUUUCCAGGUGCUCCUAAUGGAAAGGCAGGUUUGCUUGUGUUGGCCGUUCUGAGUGCCCUGCUGUGGACGAGCUACCUGGAGCAUCUCAAUGCGUUACCCCUCAUGUUAUUUAGUUUUGAAUCUGUUCCUGCCUGGAUACUUUGUCAGGUUUGCUGGGCAAAAGGCUUGUCUCGACAAAGCUGGGAGGUGGUGGGAUGCAAACAGGUCUCCAAGAGUUGCUGGCCAUGCUGGUAUUGAAUGAGUACUGGCAGUGAUUAGGAAUACCAGGAAUUUUUCUAGGCAAGAUGCGCUCCUCAAGAAGGGAAUGAGCUUCCACUGCAUCAUCUUGCUUGUAGGAACGUGUGGGGAAAUGUUGCAGAGCUAUCACCAUAUUACAAAAGGAAAAUGAGCUUCUGGCACUCUGUUUUAAGAAGUGGGAGUAACGGAUUUCAUGAGGAGCUUGUCCUGUCUCAGCGUAACAUGAAUGCCAUGACAGUGCAGAAGUAAAAUAGACUUGAAGCCUCUUCCCACACUGGUAGCAGGGUUUGUGAGCCUGCACCUGCAGAGACACUAGAGGUAGGGCUAGGGACUGCUCUCCAUGAAAAAAGCAUUACUAGCAGUCCAAAGAAUUACCUGUAUAUGUGCCAGCUGGGGGCCUGGUGAACUGCAUGUGAUGGCUUAUUUCCAAAUAGUCUUAUGAUGUUAAAGGAUGUAAACACAGACUACAGAUGGAAUGCAGCUUACAUAAAUGCAUCUUUCCUUUUAAUAAUGAAAUUCCACAGCUCGUGGCAGUUUGCUUUGCAGAACAUCAUCAUACUUUGUAAUGGGUGCUUACGGAGGGCUGGGUAGCAAUAACAAUUGGAAUUUCCUACCAGCAGUGAUCAAAGGAAGCAUUACAAGUGUUGGCAUCCUAACGCUGAAUUAGUUACCUUCAGGGGUCCUUUGUAGAGAUUGGGGCUUGUGCAGUAUUUGCCCCUCUCCCCUCAAUUCCCUGGGAUAAACCAUCUGGCUUCUUCCUUGGCCAGUGUUGCUUCAGAGGCAGAGAAGAGUUUGCUCUCAUUUUGCAAAUUUUUCCAUUAUGGGUGUGACAGUCAAUGAUACAAAUGCCUGUGUAAACUAGGUCCUUUUCAGAAGGGCCUUUACGGUGGAGGAAGGCCUCAGAAGUCUAUGGGAAAUGAAAUAGCAGGAGCAAGAGAACUUGAGUGAUUCCAACAUUCACGUGACAUCCUGUUUGGGACUCCCUGUCUUGACAAUGGUGCAACAACAAUCUCCAAAAUAAUUCUCAUCAGAGAUAAAUUGUAAACACUUGCGUUUGGUGAGCAAAGAAACGGACAGUAGAGAUUUCAUUUAGAGGAGUUUGGUUGUUCAGAGAUGGGAUUUGCCUGGUCUGCCGGUGAGAUCUGCUCAGUUUUCCCGAAGGCAUCCUUUGGAGGAGGCUAUGUCUGCUGUGAGUCGAGAGUUGCAGUCUUGCUCCUACCAGACCAUAAUGCAUCUUGAUACACUUCUAUGAUGAGCACCUGAUUUGAAUAAUAAAAGUUCUAGAUUAUCUUUUCACACCAUGAAUUUAAUAUUUGCGAUUAUAUUUAAGAUAAAAUGACAGCUAGUAGGGCGCCUCCAUGAGUUACCUCUCCAUUGAACUGACUUCUGCCUUUGCGGCUGUUAUUCCAGCUUCCCUCAAGGUAAGCACAGUCUAUGUUUCAAGAAGAGAAGGAUGCUCAGCACGGUGUGGUUUUGACGAUAGACUUUUCCCCCCCACCCUUGCCUUGGCCUCGUGUGCCUGGCGCCUUGGGUUAUAAAGAGCCCACCAUUGCGCGGUCCAUUUCCCACCCCUGCCCACACCCUGCGACUGGUAGGGCUGGUGCCCCCCGCUUGUCGGCGCAGCUUGGCUUCGCUCCCUCCAGGCUCCGGCCACGGGUGCUGCUCUGCAGCCUCCCCGGGCCGGGCUCUUUCUUGACAAGUGUCCGCACUUUUGCAGGGGGUGGUUUGGUGUUUUGAAGUUUGGUUUGCUGGGAUACUAAGGGAUGACAGAACGGACUUUUCCCCUGGCCUCUGUAGCCGUCACUCUCAUCCCCUCAGCCCUCUGGGGUUCGUAAGAACACAGGACACUUUCUCUUCCCAUCAGCUGUAGUUACUGGAUGACCUGUUGUUUCAUGGGAAAAUUCACAGCCCCACAGUGUGUUAGCUCUUUAAUUAAAGAGCAGAGGACAGGAGUGUUCCAUGGUGAUUACCAAUUAGCAGAACCUUGCAAGUGAAGUUUCUUGUCUGCUCUUUGUUUAUUAUUUUAAAAUGUGGCUUCAUGUCUUUUGUGUCUUACAAAAUGCUUGUUUUUUCCAGCCCCGAUUUAGGUGUUAACAAUAAGUAAAAUACUAACCUCAGUGCUGCAUCCUUGCAGUCUGACCCUUCUUGUGUUUGGAUUGAAUCUUUCCGUCCCAUCCUUAAACAGGUCUUCCAGGUUCUAAAACCAUUCUCCCUGCAAAAUUCACAAGAGGAAAUAGGGGUCAAUCCAGUCAAAUAACUUGGUCCAUACUGAUAUUAAGUAGAUUUUAAAUCAAUGGAAGUUUCUGUUGGUGUGCAGUCAGUGAUGUCGUAUGUGCAGUUCAGGCUGCUCUGGAGGCGGUUUGUCAGAAUAGCCCAUCUUUUCAAGACAGAAAUUAAUUUGUUUGAAAACAUCGUCCAAGUUCCAGGAGACUUUGAUAGACAUUGACAGGAAAACUAAAGGAGCAAGGCCUGGGUUUUGUUUUGGUUUUUUUUUUAAACUUAAGAUGCAGUUUGGAUACCACUGAGAUCAACGGGUAUCUGAAUAGGGAAUUCAACUUGGAAAACAUUCGCUCCUUGAGCUGUGAGCUCUGAGGCUGUUUGAAAUAGGAAAAAUGGCGAAGGAGAUGAAGCAGGGUUCUAAUCCAUCAGAGAAUUGCUUUACAAGAGAAAAUUGUGUUUAGAUUUGAAAUCAGAGUAAUAAAAUGUUUCCUCAACACGUUAUGAGUGCUGUCAUUUGACUCUUCAGGGCCUUCAAAGGGCCCGUACUUGGCACGAAUGGAGGCCAAGGGGAAUGCAAACUGAAGUUUUGCUACAAGGGUUUUAUUUGUGGUUUCUUUCUUGAGUGCUGUUGGUAAACACUCAACUACAGAAAAGUCUUUUCUCUGUGUUACCUGCGUACGUCGUGCAUCGUACUUGACGCUCAGAAGCCUACGAGCACUGAUGUUGCAUUUGGAAAAGUCCAUGACUAGUCGAAGUUCCAAUUCUAGAAUCACCAACUACUCCCAAAGAAAAUGAGAUUUGAAGGGGUGCUUACAGACGCAUAGCACGGCCUCUGUGCAGGCACUGUUUUUGCUUCCUCAGGCAUGUCUGCCUCGGGGUGCACUGAAACCCACUGCCCACACCAUCUAUGUGGAAGGACCCAGGGGCCUGUUGGUGGGGAACAAAAGCUUACAGGGGAAAGAAAUAUUUCUGUCAUCAGAAAUAAAUUAUUUCAGCCUGGUCACAUUGGCAGCAGGACGAUGGCAGAGGAAAUGGAGAGCUCCAAGUUGGUGUGGAGGAGGUGUUUCACUGGAGGCCGGACUGUGAAGCACGUGAAAUAUUAGUGCAGAAUUGUUGCCCACAGGUCUUCAGGAUUUGGGACUGCUGUUUUGUAAUGGGACUAAAGUUUCUAACAGUUUUCUCUGUUUAAAUAAGCUUUUAGCUGGUGUGCGUGUGUUCCUUAAGUGAAAUGUAGGUUGCCUUUCUCUUACGCUAAAGACCACUCCCACCACCCCAAAAA